AUUGAACGCUGGCGGCAGGCCUAACACAUGCAAGUCGAACGGUAACAGGAAGCAGCUUGCUGCUUCGCUGACGAGUGGCGGACGGGUGAGUAAUGUCUGGGAAGCUGCCUGAUGGAGGGGGAUAACUACUGGAAACGGUAGCUAAUACCGCAUAAUGUCGCAAGACCAAAGAGGGGGACCUUCGGGCCUCUUGCCAUCGGAUGUGCCCAGAUGGGAUUAGCUUGUUGGUGGGGUAACGGCUCACCAAGGCGACGAUCCCUAGCUGGUCUGAGAGGAUGGCCAGCCACACUGGGACUGAGACACGGUCCAGACUCCUACGGGAGGCAGCAGUGGGGAAUAUUGCACAAUGGGCGCAAGCCUGAUGCAGCCAUGCCGCGUGUAUGAAGAAGGCCCUCGGGUUGUAAAGUACUUUCAGCGGGGAGGAAGGGAGUAAAGUUAAUACCUUUGCUCAUUGACGUUACCCGCAGAAGAAGCACCGGCUAACUCCGUG
rnacentral:rRNA from 1 species